AUUGAACGCUGGCGGCAGGCCUAACACAUGCAAGUCGAGCGGAUGAAGGGAGCUUGCUCCUGGAUUCAGCGGCGGACGGGUGAGUAAUGCCUAGGAAUCUGCCUGGUAGUGGGGGAUAACGUCCGGAAACGGGCGCUAAUACCGCAUACGUCCUGAGGGAGAAAGUGGGGGAUCUUCGGACCUCACGCUAUCAGAUGAGCCUAGGUCGGAUUAGCUAGUUGGUGGGGUAAAGGCCUACCAAGGCGACGAUCCGUAACUGGUCUGAGAGGAUGAUCAGUCACACUGGAACUGAGACACGGUCCAGACUCCUACGGGAGGCAGCAGUGGGGAAUAUUGGACAAUGGGCGAAAGCCUGAUCCAGCCCUGCCGCGUGUGUGAAGAAGGUCUUCGGAUUGUAAAGCACUUUCAGUUGGGAGGAAGGGCAGUAAGUUAAUACCUUGCUGUUUUGACGUUACCAACAGGAUACGCACCGGCUAACUUCGUG
rnacentral:rRNA from 1 species